CCUACGGGUGGCAGCAGUGGGGAAUAUUGCACAAUGGGGGAAACCCUGAUGCAGCGACGCCGCGUGAGUGAAGAAGUAAUUCGUUACGUAAAGCUCUAUCAGCAGGGAAGAAAUACUGACCUUACGGUCAGCAGACGGUACCUGAGUAAGAAGCCCCGGCUAACUCCGUGCCAGCAGCCGCGGUAAUACGGAGGAUGCGAGCGUUAUCCGGAUUUAUUGGGUUUAAAGGGUGCGUAGGCGGGCAUUUAAGCCGGCGGUCAAAUGUCGGGGCUCAACCCCGGCCUGCCGUCGGAACUGGGUGCCUUGAGUGGGCGAGAAGUAUGCGGAAUGCGUGGUGUAGCGGUGAAAUGCAUAGAUAUCACGCAGAACCCCGAUUGCGAAGGCAGCAUACCGGCGCCCUACUGACGCUGAGGCACGAAAGUGCGGGUAUCGAACAGGAUUAGAUACCCCUGUAGUC
rnacentral:rRNA from 1 species